UUAAUUAAAUUAUUAAAAUUUUUAUUAAUAAAUUAAUAUUAAUAAAGAUAUUUAAAAUUGAUUUUUUAUUCGGAUGGUGGCACAUAAUCGGAGGCCCCGACUGUUUACUUAAAACACAGCUUUCUGCAACGAUUAAUAUCUUUGUAUAGGAAGCGAAUUUUGCCCAAUGCCAUUAAUAUAAUGUUGAUAACCUUUUUAGUGUUUAUUGAUUGAAGUUCUGGUCAAUGGCGGUCUUAACCAUGAGGAUCCUAAGGUAGCAAAAUUAAUUGUCCAUUAAAUGUGGUCCCGACUGAAUAAAGUAACGAUGGUCUCACUGUCUCUACAAGUAUCUCAGUGAAAUUGAAUUAGCCGUGCAGAUGCGGUUUAACUUCGGGUAGACGGGAAGACCCUAUGCAGCUUCUACUGA
rnacentral:rRNA from 1 species